GAAUCCGUGGUGGCGGGACGAGCAGGGGUCCAGGUGGUGGCUGUUCUUCCCGGGGGCAGUGAAGGCGAGGAGCAUGAGUUUCGAGCAGCGGCAGCAAAGUCGGUGUUGGCAGCGGGAGGCUCGAACUUAGGCCGUCCGGGCGUCCUCUCCCAUACAAACGGCACCGCGCCAGGACUCCUCAGCGAUCCCCAGCAAGCGCCCUCGUCCUCGUCGUCCUCUUUACUCACCUGGGGGCUGUCGCAGAAUUCACUCCUUCGGUUCAUCAAUCCCCACCUUUGCUGCUGCUGCUGGAGGAGCUGAUGCUGGUGGUGGUGCCUCCGGAUCGACAUGAGGGGUGCAUUUAGAUCCAACUUCUUCUCCCGGAGGAACUCCUGGGAUUGCUGCUGCUGCUGCUGUAGGAGCUGCUGCUGGAUAAUGCUCGAGAACACCAUCGCUGGAGUCUAGCUUCUACCAGGAACAGCUACAUUGAUCCAAAUCUCCAUCGCUGGCUCUCGCAAUGCCGAAACUCUGGAUCGAUCAAGCGAAACACAGAAAAGAAUAAGAAGAAGAGAGCCAAACGAAGAAACACCAAGAGUGUGAUCGCGAGGCGUAGCUCAACAAGGAACUACCACCGAUUCCCAUAGAACCUGCAUUGCCCCCCCAUCCCAUCGUGUGCAUCGCUCACAACACAGAUAAAAUAGAAGAAGCGAACACCACAAGAACGAGAAAACUGGAAGAACGAAAAAAAAACAGAGAGUAAAAGCCGUCGGAUAUUCCGGCGAUAUAAAGCCGUCGGAUAUUCUGUCUGAUCCAGACACGUGACGGGGAUAUUCUGGUCCGUCAACUUUGGCUGGCCCAUGCAAGGAAAUUCCUGUGUGUGUAAA